GCGCAGCCCAGAAGCUCGCGCUCAUUCUCGGCCACGCGACCGCGUCCUCGCGCUCAGUCCGUCGGCGCGCCGCAGCCAUGAUCAACCAGAAGCCGACUUUUCUUCAGCAAAACACGAGAAGAAAAACAGCAUUGCAGUAUCAGGAGAAUGCUGCAAGACUUCGAGGCCUCAAGAAAGUGGCUGAACAUGAUGCUGCGUUUCAGCACCACAGCAAGUGGACAGCGCCAAAGACCAUUCACACACACGUUUGUUCAUUUUUACUCAACUGCUGUUGAACACAUUUACAGUUUUUGCUGACUUUUCAAAUGUACAUUAUUUCCCACACAGUAUAAUCACCCUUAUGUUCUCAGUCAUUUUGUUACAUAAUAGAAAGUCUAGAGUCUGAACAAUGCCAGAAAGAUUUUAUAAGGAUUAACGAUACAAGCCUGUUUUAAAAUAGAAAAUAGUGCACAGUGAGUUAGAGAGCUCGGCUAUGUGCCAGGCACAUUACUGGCACCUUGCACUAACAGCACACACUCACUGCAUUAAUCCUGUCCAGGAGCCCUUCAUAUGUUUGCAUUGCAUCAAUAACAAAUCCCCAACACUGGGCAUGAGAGAGUCUCAUAUCCAAUGCUGUGUGUGUGUGUGUGUGUGUUUGCGGUUAUUGAAAUUUGCCAUUGACAGACCUCUAACUUGGCAGACUUGGCAACCAUUACUGUGUCGCUGUAGAAUUGACUUAAAUAUAAUUUAUUCCAAAACAAGUGCCUGAUCAUUUUAUGUGAAAUAAUAUAAUGUGCUUCCCCAAACAUAACUAGACUUUUAUUCAUGAUGAUUGAUUGUUGCUGGAAUGCUUUUUGCAUGCAAGCCUUAUUGAGGCAUUGGUAUUAAUAGAUUUUGGUAUUUUCAGAUGAGCUUUUUUUUUUUUUGCUGAGUACGGUGACAGCACAAAUGUUUUGGUCCUGGUGUAUAAUAGAGUCCCGCGGGAUCUGUGACUCUGUUGAUAAUGCUCAGCAUGGCAUACCAGCGAAGCAGGUCUUCUUUCAUAUAAAUAAAAUAGAGUUAGAAUAAAGAUUACACACCAGCUGGAUGCCAGGCAGGGAUUUAAGGGCUUGGUAGUGGUGGUAGCUCAGUAGUUAAGGCUCUCAACUUGUAACUGGAUGGUCGUGAGUUCAAAUCUGAGCAAUUUUGGGUCCUUGAACAAGGCUGUUAAUGCUGAACUGCUUAGACCUUUAGAUAAAAGCAUCUUCCAAAUAAUAAAUGUAAGUGUCUAGAGACUCCACACCACCAAGCUUUGUCCAACUUGCUGGAAUUCACAACUGGCUAGCGUUCAGGCAUUAUAAAUAAUGUCCCAAAUACUAGACAGAUUAUUGUUACUUUCUAAUGUUUAUUGCAUCAUCUUGAUAGCUCAGAAACCAGCAGUCUCUUCCCAUAAUGCACAGCAAACCUACAUCACAUUUACCACAUGAGCUCUGAGCAGCCAGAUUGUUACAAAUGUACCAAUCAGAUGAUUGUGUAAUGCAAUAAAGCAUAAAGUUAAUUUCA